UUGAACUAGAAGAGUAUUAUCGACACACAGUGUGAUGCACGAUAUCGACGAUUGAGCAUAAGUUUAUAAAGAAAUAUUUAAUACAUCAAUUUUGGAUAGAAUUUCCUCAUCUCGAAAUUUAACGCGUGUUUAUUUGUGGAAAAUAGAAACCUCAUUUUAAUGUGUUCAAGUAUUUUGUGUAAAAUAUUAAAAAAUCGACAUGAAGAAAAUAUAUCACGUUAAAAUGUUGUCAGCCACAAGAAUUAUCGGCAUAUGCAACAUGAUAAUAUUGGGAUUUACAACGAGCUUGUUUUCGAUAAAAUAUAUAUCAUCGAAAACGGAAAUUGAUUUUUAUAUCUUCAUUCAAUACUUGAAUCCAUUUGGUUCAAUUUGGUUGCAUCUUUUUAUUACGUCUAAUUCAACAGACAUAGCUAUAAGUGUCUUCCUCAUGUAUAUGUAUUUUUUCUUCGCAACAUUAUUUUCCAUAGCCAAUACGUAUCUGAUGAUAGCACCAUAUUUCAGGAAACCUACGUACACUAUACCCUGGCUAAUCAUGCAAACAACAAGCAUAAUGAAUCAAAGUGUGUCGUUCAUUCUUUCCUUUGUGCAAAAUUUAUCUCGAACAGAGCCAUCAUUUCUUGUUUAUUCAGAAAUUUGGUUUUUUCCAAUGUCAGGUUUAUAUCUUAUAUUUUCUAUAUACUUAUGGUCUACUGUGAAUGAUACUCGGAAAAAGUGGAUAAAAGAGCAAUCUAAUAGUCGUAGAUUCUUCACAAUCAAUAACACAAAUGGCAUCAAUGAUGCAAGUUAAUAAUGAUUACGAACAAAACUGAUGAUCAUUUCUUUCUGCUUCUUACAACAUGGAGAAAUUAUAUAAAUUGGAAAAAACUUUUCGUUCAACGAUUGCAAGCACACACACACACACACACACGGUGGGGUACGCGACGUGGUUGGUUGGCGGUGCUUUUAAAAAGAACUGAGCGAGCCAAUUUGUAAGCUGUCGCAAACUUUUAAAACACUAGUUGACAGCCGAGUCCACCCCCUCGCAACUUGUGCACCCUCCUCGACACUCGUCCAACCAUCCAGAAGGAAUCCAACCACCAUUCGACGUCUCUCUCUCGUUCUUCUCGUACCAGCUCAAACUCACCCCUCCGUGUCGUGGAAGCCGAUGGAUUGUAAAAUAAAACUAACUUGGCUCUUUCGUGGAUCGAGAACGGAGUACCGUCGAAAUCUUAUUCCCUCGGGUCUCUUUUAUUUUCGUGUACCCCCUUUUUUUUUUUUUUUUUUUUUUUUUCCUACCAA